GAUGAACGCUGGCGGCGUGCCUAAUACAUGCAAGUCGAGCGAACAGAUGAGGAGCUUGCUCCUCUGACGUUAGCGGCGGACGGGUGAGUAACACGUGGAUAACCUACCUAUAAGACUGGGAUAACUUCGGGAAACCGGAGCUAAUACCGGAUAAUAUAUUGAACCGCAUGGUUCAAUAGUGAAAGACGGUUUUGCUGUCACUUAUAGAUGGAUCCGCGCCCAUUAGCUAGUUGGUAAGGUAACGGCUUACCAAGGCAACGAUGCGUAGCCGACCUGAGAGGGUGAUCGGCCACACUGGAACUGAGACACGGUCCAGACUCCUACGGGAGGCAGCAGUAGGGAAUCUUCCGCAAUGGGCGAAAGCCUGACGGAGCAACGCCGCGUGAGUGAUGAAGGUCUUCGGAUCGUAAAACUCUGUUAUUAGGGAAGAACAAAUGUGUAAGUAACUAUGCACGUCUUGACGGUACCCAAUCAGAAAGCCACGGCUAACUACGUG
rnacentral:rRNA from 1 species